GAGGUGUGGCAGCGCGGUGAGCCGGAUUUGCACCCCGCGCAAGGCCGCGUUCUCAUCGCUCGCCCUGCUGGCAUGGCAGCGCUAGAGCAGGCAUUCCACGGGAGAGCGCUGUAUGCCACCAUCAUUGGACAACCGCGGAGCUUGGUGACGCCGGAGGCACUCGCUGCGGCGAUGGCGUCUCAUUGUGCCAUCAGGCUGGCAGCCAUGAAGGUGGAGGUGACCAGCCCACCAUUCCACUUUUUCGUGCGGUUUGACUCGCUGGAGGAUUGCACUCAUGUGGUGCUCGCGUCGGAGCAGGUGUGUUGCGGCGGCGGCAGAAUUAGUUUUCAACGUUGGUCAAGUUUGUCGCGUGGUAGGCCGUCGAAGCUGGAGUACAAGACGACGCUGAGUUUGGAGGGGCUCCCAGAAGAGGCGUGGGACCCGGAUACUGUCAACCUGGUGCUCACCGGUGUCGACGGUGAGCUCAUCGACAUGCUCCCGGCUACUGACAAGUGGGUGCUGCCUUGCACAGCGUGGCUACGCAAUCCUAGUGCCAUUCCGAAGGUGCUCACUGUCUCUGCUCCGGCUCCUCCUCUGCAACCGUGGACGCCAGACUCCGAUGACGAGAAUGCUCAUUCACCGCCGUGCCCGAACUCUCCAAUUGAUCGUGGCACCAUUGAUUUUACAAUGGCCAUACAUGUCAAGGAGGUCAUCGACCAUGGCCCAUUGCUAACUGAAGGGUUGCCUAAUGAGUUACUCCCCGAUGAAGACGUCGAUCUCAGCCGCAAGCACACUUUCACAACCUGGCGCGGCAAGAUAGAUGGU
rnacentral:rRNA from 1 species